UACAGAGGGGGCAAGCGUUAUUCGGAAUUAUUGGGCGUAAAGGGCGCGUAGGCGGCCAUUCAAGUGACGGGUGAAAGCCCUCGGCUUAACCGAGGAACUGCCUGUCAGACUGGAUGGCUUGAGACCGGGAGAGGUGAGUGGAAUUCCCAGUGUAGCGGUGAAAUGCGUAGAUAUUGGGAGGAACACCAGUGGCGAAGGCAGGUCUCUGGGCCACUACUGACGCUGAGAAGCGAAAGCAUGGGGAGCGAACAGGA
rnacentral:rRNA from 1 species